GACAGAGGGUGCAAACGUUGUUCGGAAUUACUGGGCGUAAAGCGCGUGUAGGCGGCUCCGCAAGUCAGGUGUGAAAUCCCACGGCUCAACCAUGGAAGUGCACUUGAAACUGCAGGGCUAGAGUCCUGGAGAGGAAGGUGGAAUGCUUGGUGUAGAGGUGAAAUUCGUAGAUAUCAAGCGGAACACCGGUGGCGAAGGCGGCCUUCUGGACAGUGACUGACGCUGAGACGCGAAAGCGUGGGGAGCAAACAGG
rnacentral:rRNA from 1 species